rnacentral:rRNA from 1 species
AUGUUCCCUUUUAAAAAUUCUUGCUUGCAUUUUGGGUUGGUUUCUGCUCCAUGUUCCCUUUUAGCGUUUCUUUCCAUUGUUGCUGCACUCCCUUUUGGGCGUUCAUUUCAUGCCCCGGAUCUUGCAAAUUGUGCCUGUGCCGAGCUUGCUUUAGAGUACGGGCUGCAGAGACGUCAAGGACCUCAAGGUCACCGAUGUUGUGGAGCUGGACGAGGUUUCCGCGCAGUUCAUCGACCGCCUGUUCUUCCUGGAGAAGGUGAGUCUAGACAUGAUUUACUCUGCCAGGCGGCAACACUCGAAGCUCACAGGAUCCUGAACCUCAACAACAACCCCUACUUUUCUGAGCCCUAA